GCUCAGCACAGAGCCCCAUGCAGGGCUUGAACUCACGAACCACAAGAUCCUGACCUGAGUCAAAGUUGGAUGCUUAACUGACUGAGCCACCCGACAGUGUGGCUUUUUAUAGCAAGAAAUUAGAUUUUUCUGGUGUGAGAAGGUCCUGGAUUCCUGGUGAGUAAUCUGAAUUUCCAGUAGAGAUUUGAGAGUUAGAUCAUAAUCACGCCCUUUCAUUCUGGAAAAUUUAUUUGAAAUGAGAAUGAAAAUGAGCAAAAUUACGGAUGCAUUUUCAAGCAAAGGCAAAAAUAAGAUUACUUCAGUACAUGGGUACAUUUUGCUCAAGUGUGACAAUGGGCAAGGGGUUGGGGGGUAGCUCUAUGGAAACAGAGAGUGAGAACAAGUGGUAUGGUUACUGUAACUACACAAGUUUUCCUGGGAACAGAUUUUUAAAUCCUAUUUUGUGUUCACAUUGGACUUCUGGACUUCUGAGCAGAAUAAAGUAAAAUUCCCUCCAGUGUUGAGGUAAAGGAGAGGUCUCUGCCUCCACUAUUUGGACAGCUGGAACCCCCUCUCUUUAACCUCCUGGAACAGACAGGGUGCCGGCUUCCAGGCCCUGGGAGUAUUGCAUUUCCUCCUGCUCCGCGACUGAGAAAGGUGUGAGGAAAGCCUUUGUUUUAGUCCUUUAGAAGCUAGAAUGACCACAAGCAAAGAGUUGUUGGAUUCAGAGACCACACAAAUGAAAUAACCUGGGCAUUAAAAAAAAAUCAUCUGUGUUUCUGAAGUGGGAAAAAAAUGCUUCAGGUCUCUGUUUAAUUGGUAAGUUCGGACGUGUUUCAAGACGUGCAUUCAUUUACUCAUUCAUUUAAUAAGUAUUUAUUGAAAGCCAACUAUAUGCUGGGUACCAAGCUGGAUGCUCAAAAUAAUAAGAUAAGCAAAAGGAACAAGGUUCUUGCCCUCGCAGGUCUUAUGGCUAGGAGAGACCAAAUAUGGGAAUUCUGUUAGUUCUGAGGUUUAGAGUAGCCACAGUAUAGCACAGGCUGGGAUAGGAGCUGGGAAGAAUUAAAGUCAAUGGGUCAGUUAUACUACGCCACCAUGCAUGAUAGUUUCCCUGGGGACUCAUAGCCUCAAAGGAGACCAGAAAACAGAGGUGAAGUUUCAUGUCCAUGGGGCCUGUGCCCAGAGACUGGCAGAGACUAGAAUCUGAACCUGUAAUAGAAUCCCCAUUUCAGGACCUAGAAUGGGUAGAUGUGACCGCUUUCCAGAAGGAGGCAGAACACUACAGCUACUUGUAGUUGGCGAUUAAGAUACAGGCAGAUAUUGGCCUACAGCAGAGGCAACAUACUCUUUUUUUUUUUUUUUAAGCCACAAUUAUUUAUUCCUAGAAAUGGACUCUGAGGAAAUAAUCAUAGGCGAGUGCAAAGAUUUAUUUACAAGGGUGCUUAAUACAGAUCUCUUUAUAAGUAGGAAAAAGGAGGAAGAAGAACAGGAAGAAGAGUUGAAGGAGAAGGAAGAAAGGGAAAAAAAUGGGAAGAUAUUGAGCACCCCUAUGAGGAUGCAAUUCCAGGAAGACAGGAAUUAUUGUCUAUUUUGUCCACUGUUAUAUCCUCAGUGCCAGAAGAGAUAAUAAAUAGGAUCAGAGAGGUCAUCACAGAUGAUGUCAGGUAUCCAAGUCUGGAAGACUGAAGAACAUUUCAGCAUGCAGACAAAUGUAGAAAGAACACAGUAUAUAAAGAGGAGAUAAACACCAGAUUCCAGAAGGGCACACUGUUGCUCACCUAUACACUGUACCUCGUGCUUGGGGCGAUGAUAUUUUAAGCCUUGGAGAAGGACUUGGAAGUACAGCAGCACCAGCUGGCAGUUAAAACAAAAAUUGCGUUUCUGGAAAAGCGUUCUAGUAUGACUCAAGAAGAUGUGGAACUCUUCGUGCAGCUGCUUGAACAGACUGAGACACAUGGGUCAAAUCUGACCUGAAUGGCCUGUUCGCCCCAGCAGACCCCAGGAUCAAGGUGAGAGAGGCGAGAAGGAAGAACACUGCAGCCUUCUUUUUUCUUUCCACUUCAGGAUGUAUUUACAGAUUCUCAGACCUCUGGACUCAGAUUGCAACUCUACCAGUGGCUCUCCUGGAUGUCUGGCUUGCAACAGCAGACCAUGGGACUUCUCAGCCUCCAUUAUCAAUGUCCCUGCAUAGCUGCAAUUCAGCAACGCCAAAGAAGAAAGGGGAGCCUCCAGUUCCCAGCUAUGUUUUUCCUCUCUGCAUAGCAGUAAUAGUGUCUUCAGUGUUUCCUUACAUGGAUCAAGUGGAAGAAAAAGGAAUCGGAUUGGUCCGUGAGCACUGUUUGGCCUGGGGAAUAGGGUCUUUCUCCAUCCUUAACCUAUCAUGGCCAUAUUUGCUUUAUCAUUUUCAUCUGUUUGGCUUGAAAUAUCUCUGCACUCUUUAUGUUUGGGACUGGAAGGCAAAGAAAAGAAGUUUUGGAGCAGCCCCAUUCCAGUGGAAAUAAAGGACAUUUUGCAGCCUGUCUUCCCAGACAGCCAAAGAGCUCUGAACCCCAAGAUUCUGGAUGCUUCCUGACUUGAGCCUCACAAUCCUCCCAAAGCCAGCGUGAUAUUUCCCCCCAAAACCCCAGCAGCCUGACCACCUCGCCAAAAGUUUAGUAGCCGAGAACUUAAAAAAAAAAAAAAAAAGGAAAAAAAAGGCUACUAUUGCUUAUGUUCCCAACAUCAACCAUUUUACAAACUGCAUUUCAGAAUAUUUGCUAACAUGUUCUGACAAAGAAUAAUAAUUGAUCAGAAGCUCCCCAGCUUGCGUGAAGAACAACAACAAUAAUAGUCAUUGAGAGACUGUUCUGGGUCUUUCUCUCAUGCUAAGGCUCGAGUUUGGUUGUGAUGAAAAGAAAGUCGCUGUAAGAACAUUACGUCUACGUUACUCAGCUCUCACUCAGGAAGCUUAUUAAUCUCAGUGAGUAGAUCUGGCACAACUUUGCAGAACUCUAGAAGUCACGUAGCUGGAGUAGAGGGAGCGAUUCUGUGUAUGUUAUUUCACCACAUUUACAGACCAUAGAAAUAAUGUAGCCGAUCGACAUGCCCUCACUGACAUCUAGUGCUCCGAUUUCUCUCCACCAGCUCUGAUUUGAGAUGGUUUGACUAGUUAAAGCUCGUUGCACAAUGGCUGGUGCUGCAGAGCCGGAAAUGCCAGGUCAGCAACCAAACCACUAAAGUCAUAAGUGCCUGCUGCAUAAAUGCCCAUGUUUCAUCUUUAGCGGGCUUCAAAGUUAAAUAGCGAAGACAGACAAUGCAAAGAAAAAUAUGACUGCGGUAAAACACGGCAACUACACGACGGCUAAAAUUAAGUCUUCAUAUCAAUCAUGCAUUUUUAAUGUGAACAUUUAUGGAAAUCUCUCUUAAUGUUUAGGCAGUAUUUUUCUUCAUUGGUUAUUUAUGAUGCUGUGAGCUGCAAGCACAAGCUAAAUGGGAAAGCCAGAGAGUGGGAUUUGCUUAACAGUCGACAACCUUGUCCUUGUAAAUAAAAAAGAGAAAGCCCAUCAUCUCUUCAAGCGCAUCUUCAUAAAUAAACUUAAAAAGAAAAGC